rnacentral:rRNA from 1 species
ACGUAGGGCGCAAGCGUUAUCCGGAAUUAUUGGGCGUAAAGAGCUCGUAGGCGGUUUGUCGCGUCUGCCGUGAAAGUCCGGGGCUCAACUCCGGAUCUGCGGUGGGUACGGGCAGACUAGAGUGAUGUAGGGGAGACUGGAAUUCCUGGUGUAGCGGUGAAAUGCGCAGAUAUCAGGAGGAACACCGAUGGCGAAGGCAGGUCUCUGGGCAUUAACUGACGCUGAGGAGCGAAANCAUGGGGAGCGAACAGGAUUAGAUACCCUGGUAGUCCAUGCCGUAAACGUUGGGCACUAGGUGUGGGGGACAUUCCACGUUUUCCGCGCCGUAGCUAACGCAUUAAGUGCCCCGCCUGGGGAGUACGGCCGCAAGGCUAAAACUCAAAGGAAUUGACGGGGGCCCGCACAAGCGGCGGAGCAUGCGGAUUAAUUCGAUGCAACGCGAAGAACCUUACCAAGGCUUGACAUGAACCGGUAAGACCUGGAAACAGGUCCCCCACUUGUGGCCGGUUUACAGGUGGUGCAUGGUUGUCGUCAGCUCGUGUCGUGAGAUGUUGGGUUAAGUNCCGCAACGAGCGCAACCCUCGUUCCAUGUUGCCAGCGCGUUAUGGCGGGGACUCAUGGGAGACUGCCGGGGUCAACUCGGAGGAAGGUGGGGACGACGUCAAAUCAUCAUGCCCCUUAUGUCUUGGGCUUCACGCAUGCUACAAUGGCCGGUACAAAGGGUUGCGAUACUGUGAGGUGGAGCUAAUCCCACAAAGCCGGUCUCAGUUCGGAUUGGGGUCUGCAACUCGACCCCAUGAAGUCGGAGUCGCUAGUAAUCGCAGAUCAGCAACGCUGCGAUGAAUACGUUNCCGGNCCUUGUACACACCGCCCAUCAAGUCACGAAAGUUGU